rnacentral:rRNA from 1 species
AGUCACACCGCAUGUGCCGUUAGCCGAACUGAGGAGGGUGAUCGGCACAAGGACUGAGAACCGUCAGAAUUCUUACCGGAGGCAGCAGUAGAAUCUCGCAAUUGGGCGAAGCUGACCGAGGCAACGCCCGCGUGAGUGAAGAAGUUCUUCGGAUCGUUAAAACUCUGUAUUAGGAGAACAAAUGUGGUUAAGUAACUAUGCACGUCUUGACGGUACUAAUCAGAAAGCCACGGCUAACUACGUGCCAGCAGCCGCGGUAAUACGUAGGUGGCAAGCGUUAUCCGGGAAUUAUUGGGCGUAAAGCGCGCGUAGGCGGUUUUUUAAGUCUGAUGUGAAAGCCCACGGCUCAACCGUGGAGGGUCAUUGGAAACUGGAAAACUUGAGUGCAGAAGAGGAAAGUGGAAUUCCAUGUGUAGCGGUGAAAUGCGCAGAGAUAUGGAGGAACACCAGUGGCGAAGGCGACUUUCUGGUCUGUAACUGACGCUGAUGUGCGAAAGCGUGGGGAUCAAACAGGAUUAGAUACCCUGGUAGUCCACGCCGUAAACGAUGAGUGCUAAGUGUUAGGGGGUUUCCGCCCCUUAGUGCUGCAGCUAACGCAUUAAGCACUCCGCCUGGGGAGUACGACCGCAAGGUUGAAACUCAAAGGAAUUGACGGGGACCCGCACAAGCGGUGGAGCAUGUGGUUUAAUUCGAAGCAACGCGAAGAACCUUACCAAAUCUUGACAUCCUCUGACCCCUCUAGAGAUAGAGUUUUCCCCUUCGGGGGACAGAGUGACAGGUGGUGCAUGGUUGUCGUCAGCUCGUGUCGUGAGAUGUUGGGUUAAGUCCCGCAACGAGCGCAACCCUUAAGCUUAGUUGCCAUCAUUAAGUUGGGCACUCUAAGUUGACUGCCGGUGACAAACCGGAGGAAGGUGGGGAUGACGUCAAAUCAUCAUGCCCCUUAUGAUUUGGGCUACACACGUGCUACAAUGGACAAUACAAAGGGUAGCAAAACCGCGAGGUCAAGCAAAUCCCAUAAAGUUGUUCUCAGUUCGGAUUGUAGUCUGCAACUCGACUACAUGAAGCUGGAAUCGCUAGUAAUCGUAGAUCAGCAUGCUACGGUGAAUACGUUCCCGGGUCUUGUACACACCGCCCGUCACACCACGAGAGUUUGUAACACCCGAAGCCGGUGGAGUAACCUUUUGGAGCUAGCCGUCGAAGGUGGGACAAAUGAUUGGGGUGAAGUCGUAAUCAUAGAAACAACCCG